UAUUUGCUCUGUCCUUUGUCAUAUCAAGCUCUAAGUUACAAGCUACGAAAUGGACUUGAGAUCCCUAAGUGUCUCCCCACGCAGGUUAAAAUCCUCUCAACAACGGCAGGUUGCUUAUCAUGUGCUUGAUAGUUUGAGAAUUUAGAACCAACCACGUUGGAGCCAACAAGACAAUACCGCAGUGCAACCCCUGCUGAAAUCACUAUGUUUUGAGAGUAUAGAGACUGACCAAGCCAUCAGUGCAGCCAACAAGAGAAUACCGCAGUACAAACUUGGCAAUAGAACGUAAUACCACCAUCUUGUUUUCUUUGGGCACUCUUUUCAUGGGAUCCUCCUUCAUUAUAUCCCAUAAUCCACCUGCUCCAUCAGCCAUUUGUGUUCAGUGGCGAUAAUGGUAUAGUGGUGCGCAUAGCUACCUUCUAAGCAGUUGACCCGCGUUCGAUUCCCGGCCAUCGCAGGUAUCCUUUGUCCCCACCUUUUUAAUUGAAUGCCACAGAAGCACAUAGGGUUGACUUACCGCCGCCCUGACUUUGAUGACAAGUCCUAAUAUAUCCGAACGAGGUCCUAACACAGAUCCCAACAUUGCUAACACAAGGGGUAAAACAGCCAAUCAGUUCCUAAGAAACGAUGUUGCGACGCAUCCAAUCAACAAUUGCUGCCUUGACGCACGGUUGUCUGAUUGGUGAGUGACAUUAGCCAUCAUACAGUGUAAGUUUGUCAUGCGAAUCUUGUCACUUAUUGGAUGGCCACCGUUUAGUCACAGGUUACAACCUUUUCAGAGGGACAGAGAGACUUUUCUCGAUGCUCAGGUAUCAUUCUACUUUACGUACGUGUUAUGAUAAUAGUAGACUUCAGGGUGAAUGUUUAAGUCUAUGAGGCAGUAGGUUUUCCUAGCUCCUUAAGAUUAACUCGGGAAACGAUGUUGAAAGGGUAACGACUGAGAUAACGUUAACGUUAGCCCCAUACGUUAAGAUGACCACUGUUGUGAACUUUUCUAAUUAAACUGCAAUACAUUUAGUCUCUUUCUUUCUGUUACAUUAACACAUUUGGAUUGUACUAUGACAUUGAUUUGUGUAAGGUUAAUUAUUUUCAGUAUAAAUUAGAUGUAAACCGUUUUUAGGUAGGCUAACGUAAGCUAGCCGUUAGUUUGUUUUUGUAUGUUUGGUCUGUUAAUGUCGUCGUUGUUUAAGAGAUUUUUCUACGAUAAGUGGUGGUCAUCUUAAGCUAUGUUUUGUGUCGUUGACCUGACGUGAAAACCGUUAACGCCUGUGGUGAUUUUGUGUGCUUUUAUAAUAAUCGAGUGACGUCAGCACGAUGACCCUAGUUGAAGAGCUAGCCUAUGCACUGUGUGACCUAUGGAUUAACUUUCUGACUAAAAUAAAUUGUGAAAUGAAUUACUGUUACCAAUCAACAUAUUUGUCAUUUGAUAGGGUAGUAUUUCCAUCUGUUACCGUUCAUUUUUGUUGCUUUCCAUAUCUUGUCCCUAAUAUCUGCAGAAAUGACAAAGACUGGGAAACCAGAUGCCUACUGGGCAGGUGUGAUGUCCCUGUAUGCCCAGGGAAAGUACAAAUUUACAACUGGCAAGAGUCCAGGGGCCAGGAGAUGGAGGGCGGUAAUGCAGCGGAUUGCUGAUUGUCCUCUGACCCCCCUGAAAGGUCAAACUGCUGUCCCCAAACAAUACAUAUUUGGGAAAAGGAUCCCCUGCAAGUGUGGAUACCACCAGACCUCCCAGAUGUUGCUGCUCCUACCACUCCCAUAGCCCAAGAGACGACACUGGCGACAGAGCAACACCCACCUGAUGUUCCUGCCCCUGUUCCUGCUCCUCCCACAGCCCAUGAGACAUCACCGGCACCACCAUGACACCCACUCACUCUGCAGCCUCCUGAGGUAAACUGGCCCCACCAAAUCCAUUUCAAUGAAUUUGGGCAAGUGCUGAAUUCUGUGCUGACCACUGGUGAGGGGGCUGGCCUUGAUGACCUUUGUCAAGGCAUUGUCCAAAGGUACAGAGAUGCUGGUGAGCCACAGCCAGAUGCCAUAUAUGUGGACAGAGACUGCAGCAGUGAGACAGGGGUUGGUCCAGUUCUCACUUGGUUUCGGCCAUGGACGUCAACGGUGAGACUGGAUAUAUUCCAUUUUAUGAGGCGGUUCACCAAGGGCCUUUCGACAGAGCACCAUCCACUGUAUGGCACGUUCUGCUCAAAGUUAUCCACUUGUAUCUUUGAGUGGGACAAAGAGGACAUUCACCUGUCUGCUAGCCACUCCCUCCUCAUCAGGCCAACUCCAUAUCGGCUCUUGUUUCGAACCACCUGCUCUCCUGACUACGUCUCCGGCCUGUUGCCUAACGGAACCUUCGCUCUACCCUGAGCCGCUUACUGAGUACGGCGAUUCCUCUCCUGAUCUAUUGCCACGUGUACUACCAUUCGACUCGGCUGAGUCGACUCCCCGACUCACCUUGGAGGCUCCAGAGACUCAUCGCCUGCAGCGUGCUCUGAACUCUAUCCUGUGCUGCUUAACUGCUUUGAUUCCUGUGUGUGACGUAAA